rnacentral:rRNA from 1 species
UACUAAAGUUGUUGCGGUUAAAAAGCUCGUAGUUGAAAUUGUGUCCUGCGGUGUCGGUCUACCGAAUGCGGUACGACAGGCACGUCUGCGGGGCUUCUCGCCGGUGCGUCCACCGCCGGCGUGCGUCGGUCGGCCUCACGGUCGGCCGCGCACCGAGGCGGGCCGUCGCGGCUGUUUACUUUGAACAAAUUAGAGUGCUCAAAGCGGGCUAACACUUGCCUGAAUAUUGUACGCAUGGAAUAAUAGAAUANGACCUCGGUUCUGUUUUGUUGGCUUUCUGAUACCAGAGGUAAUGAUUAAUAGGGACAACUGGGGGCAUUCGUAUUGCGACGUUAGAGGUGAAAUUCUUGGAUCGUCGCAAGACGGACUAAAGCGAAAGCAUUUGCCAAAGGUGUUUUCAUUAAUCAAGAACGAAAGUUAGAGGUUCGAAGGCGAUUAGAUACCGCUGUAGUUCUAACCAUAAAUGAUGCCAGCCAGCGAUCCGCCGAAGUUUCAUAAUUUUAACCCGGUGGGCAGCUCCCGGGAAACCAAAGCUUUCGGGCUCCGGGGGAGUA